rnacentral:rRNA from 1 species
UACGUAGGGCGCAAGCGUUGUCCGGAAUUAUUGGGCGUAAAGAGCUCGUAGGCGGCUUGUCACGUCGGGUGUGAAAGCCCGGGGCUUAACCCCGGGUCUGCAUUCGAUACGGGCUAGCUAGAGUGUGGUAGGGGAGAUCGGAAUUCCUGGUGUAGCGGUGAAAUGCGCAGAUAUCAGGAGGAACACCGGUGGCGAAGGCGGAUCUCUGGGCAGUAACUGACGCUGAGACACGAAAGCGUGGGUAGCAAACAGG